rnacentral:lncRNA from 1 species
AUCUGUGAUGGUCUGGGAAGGUUCCGAGGUGAUUAGGCAGCGUCGGUCUUCAGCUGCUAAGCUGAGAAGAUCUGGGAAGGAGUCAGAGAGCCUUGGGCCAGAGUUCCAGGGGCUCUGGGAGUGGCUGCCAGAUCGCUUCUUGACCUGCACAACUUUCUGAUUUGAUGAGUUCAACAGAAACCAACUCAAGGGAGAAGAAUAAAGACAUUGUUGAACUUAGACUUUGACAAGAUGCAUAUUGGAUAUCUAAAUAGAGAUAUCAAGAAAUGAAGAUAUGCAUUUCCAGUUCCAGAGAGAAAUUCACACUGGAAAUAUAAAUUUAGGAAUUUUAAAGUUAGUGGUCACAUUUAAAGCUGCAGAAUACAAAGAGAUCACCUGUGUGAGAGAACUGAGUCCUGAAACAUACCCGUGUUUAAAGAUCUGGGAGGUGCAGAGGAAUUAUCAAAGGAGGCUGAGAAGGAGCAGCCAGUGAGGUGUGUAGAAAAACAAGAUAAGCAAAAAGAAAAGCAAGAGAUAUGGAACUGAACUUCCCUUUGGCAAAAAAUUUAGAAAAUGAUAAUGAGUCUCUAGACCCCCUUCGUGGAUGGUAUCAGAUGAUUUCAGUCCAACCUUCCAUUGCAUUCUCUGACUGAGCCAACACAGCUGGAUUCUCAGCCAACUAUGAAGUUUAAAUUGACUCCGCUUUCUGUCUCUCUGAAGAUAACGUUAAGCUGCAGCUCCGUAUCUGUGAAAACCCAUUUCACAGCAUCUGCAUCCCUGGAUUGCUAAAUACCCUUGUCUAGUUACCCAAAUAUUAAUGGAUCCCAUGGAAUAAGGUGGCAUGAUUUAGGCACAAGCAAUUACCAAAGGAUUUUGAAAAGCAGUAACUCCAAAUUAUCUUGUAAAGUUGAGAAUAAUCUGAGAAGAGCUAUUGUAAGACUGGGAAUCAAGUAACAAAAUAAAGAUAUGAACCGUC